CGUGCGUACGUGGUGAGCAAUGACUCUGCGACAUAACGGCACCGAAGCUUCCGUAGAAAGCAUGUUCCAAGACAAUCGGCCACUGGAGACGCGACUUCGUUAUCGGCAUGGUUUACCGUCCAUCUUGGCCUCUGCAGCGUCUGGAUUCUGGCUGAAUAAUCUUCAACCGUACUGCUAUCAGGCUUGGACCUUCUACCAUUGGAGCACUUAAGUGUUUCAGUGCCUGUGGAACUCUUCAGAUCUUGCGAUGUCAACAGGUAGCAGCAGGUGUUCAUAAUGGAGAUGCAGCUGGUGCCAUGGUGCUUGUUCAAUAGUUAGUGCACCUGACAUCAAGAAUCCUGGCAUAUAAAGUCUGAAUCGCUGUGGUUAGUAAGCAGGAUACCAAGUCCCAGCACCUUCCUUUGGUGCUUCCUGUGGAUCUACAGUUUUGAAAGGUAAGCCACCUGCUUCCUGUCUGAGGUCCCUCUCUGUGGGUGUUUGAAUAAAAGGUUUAGUCAA